GACGUAGGGGACGAGCGUUGUCCGGAUUCAUUGGGCGUAAAGAGCGCGUAGGCGGCCACGCAAGUCGGAUGUGAAAACCCGGGGCUCAACCCCGGGCCUGCAUCCGAUACUGCGUGGCUAGAGGUAGGUAGGGGAGAUCGGAAUUCCUGGUGUAGCGGUGAAAUGCGCAGAUAUCAGGAGGAACACCGGUGGCGAAGGCGGAUCUCUGGGCCUUACCUGACGCUCAGGCGCGAAAGCUAGGGGAGCGAACAGG
rnacentral:rRNA from 1 species